UCAAACUUGGUCAUUUAGAGGAAGUAAAAGUCGUAACAAGGUCUCCGUAGGUGAACCUGCGGAGGGAUCAUUACUGAGUUAUCUAACUCCCAAACCAUUGUGAACUUACCACUGUUGCCUCGGCGGCAGUCCUCUCUUCACGGAGAGGCGUCGCCGGUGGACUACUAAACUCUUGUUAAUUUUUGUCAUUCUGAAUAACAAACUUAAUAAGUUAAAACUUUCAACAACGGAUCUCUUGGUUCUGGCAUCGAUGAAGAACGCAGC
rnacentral:misc_RNA from 1 species